GACACGUCGAGCAGGUACGAAAGUAGGUCUUAGUGAUCCGGUGGUUCUGUAUGGAAGGGCCAUCGCUCAACGGAUAAAAGGUACUCCGGGGAUAACAGGCUGAUACCGCCCAAGAGUUCACAUCGACGGCGGUGUUUGGCACCUCGAUGUCGGCUCAUCACAUCCUGGGGCUGAAGCCGGUCCCAAGGGUAUGGCUGUUCGCCAUUUAAAGUGGUACGCGAGCUGGGUUUAGAACGUCGUGAGACAGUUCGGUCCCUAUCUGCCGUGGGCGUUGGAGAUUUGAGGGAAGCUGCUCCUAGUACGAGAGGACCGGAGUGGACGAACCUCUGGUGUUCGGGUUGUCACGCCAGUGGCAUUGCCCGGUAGCUAUGUUCGGAAAGGAUAACCGCUGAAAGCAUCUAAGCGGGAAACCUGCCUCAAGAUGAGAUCUCCCGGGCCUUCGGGCCCCUAAAGGACCGUAGAAGACUACUACGUUGAUAGGUUGGGUGUGUAAGUGCUGUGAAGCAUUGAGCUAACCAAUACUAAUUGUCCGUGAGGCUUGAUCAU
rnacentral:rRNA from 1 species